CAAAAAUGCACAUACUGUGAGCUCGAUGAGUAGGGCGGGACACGUGGUAUCCUGUCUGAAUAUGGGGGGACCAUCCUCCAAGGCUAAAUACUCCUGACUGACCGAUAGUGAACCAGUACCGUGAGGGAAAGGCGAAAAGAACCCCGGCGAGGGGAGUGAAAAAGAACCUGAAACCGUGUACGUACAAGCAGUGGGAGCACGCUUCGGCGUGUGACUGCGUACCUUUUGUAUAAUGGGUCAGCGACUUAUAUUCUGUAGCAAGGUUAACCGAAUAGGGGAGCCGAAGGGAAACCGAGUCUUAACUGGGCGU
rnacentral:rRNA from 1 species